rnacentral:rRNA from 1 species
AACGAACGCUGGCGGCAUGCCUAACACAUGCAAGUCGAACGAGACCUUCGGGUCUAGUGGCGCACGGGUGCGUAACGCGUGGGAACCUGCCCGUAGGUUCGGAAUAACUCCCCGAAAGGGGUGCUAAUACCGGAUAAUGUCUUCGGACCAAAGAUUUAUCGCCUUUGGAUGGGCCCGCGUUGGAUUAGCUAGUUGGUAGGGGAAAAGCCUACCAAGGCGACGAUCCAUAGCUGGUCUGAGAGGAUGAUCAGCCACACUGGGACUGAGACACGGCCCAGACUCCUACGGGAGGCAGCAGUGGGGAAUAUUGGACACUGGGCGAAAGCCUGAUCCAGCAAUGCCGCGUGAGUGAUGAAGGCCUUAGGGUUGUAAAGCUCUUUUACCCGGGAUGAUAAUGACAGUACCGGGAGAAUAAGCUCCGGCUAACUCCGUG